rnacentral:rRNA from 1 species
AUCCCGGUGCAAGCGAGGUAGGAGUGCUGUUGGCAAAUCCGCAGCACGAUCUGAAGACGUGACGCGUACCGAACAUAAGUAGGGAAGUCCAGGCCCCUGGCUGUCAAGAAAAGCCGCUAUCGUUUUAUAUGUGCCCGUACCGCAAACCGACACAGGUGGAUGAGGAGAGAAUCCUAAGGCCGACGGGAGAAGUAUUGUUAAGGAACUCGGCAAAAUGACUCCGUAACUUCGGGAGAAGGAGUGCCAUGAGAGUGGCCGCAGAGAAAUGGCCCAAGCAACUGUUUAGCAAAAACACAGGUCUAUGCAAAACCGCAAGGUGAAGUAUAUGGGCUGACGCCUGCCCGGUGCUGGAAGGUUAAGGGGAGAGGUUAGCGCAAGCGAAGCUUUGAACUUAAGCCCCAGUAAACGGCGGCCGUAACUAUAACGGUCCUAAGGUAGCGAAAUUCCUUGUCGGGUAAGUUCCGACCCGCACGAAAGGCGUAAUGAUUUGGGCACUGUCUCAACGAUACACCCGGUGAAAUUGAAAUACCAGUGAAGAUGCUGGUUACCUGCGCCAGGACGGAAAGACCCCAUGGAGCUUUACUCCAGUUUGAUACUGGGAUUCGGCAUGGUAUGUACAGGAUAGGUGGGAGACUGAGAAGGUAUGACGUCAGUUGUACCGGAGUCGCUGUUGGGAUACCACCCUUACCAUGUUGGAUUUCUAACCUGUGGCCGUAAGCCGGUCAGGGGACAAUGUCAGGCGGGGAGUUUGACUGGGGCGGUCGCCUCCGAAAGGGUAUCGGAGGCGCUCAAAGGUUCCCUCAGAAUGGUUGGAAACCAUUCGAAGAGUGCAAAGGCAGAAGGGAGCUUGACUGUGACACCGACGGGUGGAGCAGGUACGAAAGUAGGACUUAGUGAUCCGGUGGUAUAAAGUGGGAUUGCCAUCGCUCAACGGAUAAAAGCUACCCUGGGGAUAACAGGCUUAUCACUCCCAAGAGUUCACAUCGACGGAGUGGUUUGGCACCUCGAUGUCGGCUCAUCGCAUCCUGGAGCUGUAGCAGGUUCCAAGGGUUGGGCUGUUCGCCCAUUAAAGCGGUACGCGAGCUGGGUUCAGAACGUCGUGAGACAGUUCGGUCCCUAUCCGGCGCAGGCGGAGGAAAUUUGAUAGGAGCUGUCCUUAGUACGAGAGGACCGGGAUGGACGGACCGCUGGUGUAUCUGUUGUACUGCCAAGUGCAUAGCAGAGUAGCCAAGUCUGGAAGGGAUAAACGCUGAAGGCAUCUAAGCGUGAAGCCCCCCUAAAGAUAAGAUUUCCCAUACC